UUUUGUUUCCCGGAGCUAAAUAGUGAUGGAUCAGAUAAUCAUAUUUUAUUGAAAAACAGAGUUUUGCUGUCAGUGUUUAUAUGUUACAGUGUUUGAUUAUUUAUUUAUUUUUUAAUCAAUGUAAAACCUCAAAGUUAGAGUGGGAGAGGGACGAAGCUGUGCUGGUGGUUGAUGUAAGGAUCAAACAGCUCUUCUGAUCCCACACGUAGCCCGAGUCAGUGUGAGCAGUCAGGUUCAUAGCUGGGCUGUCAAAAGGGAGUGCUGAAAAUACUCUCUCUUAUUUUGCCAAUUAAACUGAAUGGAGCUUAUUAUUGGAGAUUAAACAGCACUGAGGUUUUCUCCUAACUUAAUCUUGGCUUUUCUGAUUCCUAAAGAACUCUUACAAGGCUCUCCUGUGCCCUUUGGGUAAUACAAACUCUCUUCUGCUAAGGCUGCAAGACUUAGGCUGCAGUGAGUCCGUGUGGUCUCUUGCCCUUUCUUCAUGGAUGACCUGCAAAGAAGAGCUAUCAUUCCUCUCAGGAAACUUGACACUUCUGGUCAGUGGCCCCUUGCAUUUUUUCCCAGCUGGCUGGCAUUCUAGGUGACUGAUCACAGAAGUACUCAGUUCAUCCACUUGUUCAGGAUUCCCCAUGCCAAUGCUAUUCCAUUUCAGGAUAAACGUACUGAGGAGGUGUGUUCUGUUGAUCAUAUCUGAAAACAGAGCUGUGCUUCCCUGGACAAACACCUUUAGGUUCUUCCUUCUCUGUAGCUCUGUACCAGUAAGAGUAAAUAUGCAUGUGAGAUAUUACCUGGGGAUCAUUAAAUGCUUGACUACUGUUAGCUUAGUGCCAUUUUAGGAGGGUCACAAGGAGCUCUAAAGUAUUUCUGACCUUUUUUCAACCCCUCUCCUUUUGCAGAGAGGUGGAUGUGGCUGAAGGACUUGGCAUUUUUCAUCAACUGAGAGGUCCCAGGCUAGCAGGUGGAAUCCCUAGGAGAUGCUCCUAGUGGAGGGAUCUCCACAGCUUGCUCUGAAAUAGUUUAGUGAUUUGAAUGUAAACCAACAAAACAAAUCAUAGAGAAAGAAAAGCAUGAAAGAGGAUUGACAGGGUGAGAAAGGGCUUAUGGCUGUAAGCACUGCACCUCUGCUGUUGCUGGGUGCUGAAAAAGGUCCUUAUAUCCUUCAGAGUCUGAAUCAUGUUUGGGAAACCUUGACCUCUGACAGAGGAGUAAGCUGAGGCCAGUGCUAAUGGUUUGUUUAAACACAAGUUCUUAAACUCUGAUUAAUUGAUUGCUGUAACUCUGUUUGGUAACUACAGAUAUUUUUGUCCUAUAACAGAUGUCAGCAGACUGUCUGGAGGAAUAUGUGCGUACAAAAUGUUUGCCUGUUAGUUUGCAGUUGGUUGAAUAGAAAGCAAAAGCCUAAGUUCAUAUAUCCUUAGGUCUUGUUUUUGAAACUAGUUUGAACAGAGCAUUUAGCAUGUGUUAACCUGGUUAAGGUGCAGGAAAGAUAGUGACACAUCCAUAAGUGCUUUGCUCAAAGCCAUGAACAACAGCAAGGUAGUCGUUUUAGGCUGUGCAGAGCAGCUUGCUUUUCCUGAUGCCCUCUGAGGUCUUCUGCCUUCAUCUGGGUAGGAUGAGCCUUUGGGACCAUGGCUGUCACAUCAGUGCACCCAUCUGCAGCACACAGUGCUGAAAGCUCGGAUCUUUGCAGGGUUUCCUCAGGAGGAUCUUCUUCCUCUUUCCAAAUCAUACGUGUCUUUCUAAAGGUCAGACUAUCUUAAGAAACCAUUGCAGACUGUUCUCAAGUGAUUAUACAUCUUAAUUCUCUAAAAAUAGAAAAAAAAAAGAUGUAGCUCCCAGACGUGCUGGGAUGACUGGGGGGCUUUCUUAAGACGCUUUCUUAAAUCGCACUCUCUCUCAUCAUAUGAGCUUUUAAUUUCUCAGUUCAGAAAAGUAUGCAGCACUUCACAGCAGUGCAUAGCUGGGCACUUUCAAACCCUGCUUCUUCAGACAAAAUAUAUGAAAGAUGACUGUUAACUAAACUUGGCUUAAUUAAGUUGACAAUUUCACAGCUCCUUUGAACAGCUCAUUAACUGCAGGCUGCAGUGUCUUUGCAGCCAAAGCUCCACAAUACAUCAUACAGUGAACCUGCUGACAGAAGGGUACAACUUCCAACACAGGCUUCAAGAAAUCAGAUUUAUUACUGCAGUCCUGCUUCGUCUAAAAACAGUUAAGGCCUCCAUUAACAGCUGCUGUAAUGUAGUCCUAAUUUAGUCGCAAUGGUAGCUGCUGGAGGUAACAGACUAAGCUUACUGACUUCAGUUUAUCUCGUUGGGUCUCUUCAGCUUGGCCUUGGAACAAGAUUUCAAACUGUUUCAAAGAAGUCUGCAAACCUCUGCUGCCCAUGAUCCUAUGCUGAAAGAUGCUAUUGUGAGUUAUGGAGCAAGUAUCUAGGGUUUUGUCUCUUGUGUUAAUAUUGCAAUGCUCUGUUCUUAGCACUUGUGAUUUCUUACUGACACGGCUAGGGUAAAGCCCUACAAAAUUGCAGCAAUUCUGAUACUAAAGUGCUUGUGACUGUGUGGUUUAUGCCACUUGAGAGUAGAAAUAAAAUGGUAUAAGUUCUUCCACAACAGAAGAUUUCCCAGUAUUUUUUGACAUUCUUGACAUUUCUGAUUUAGGCAAAGUCUUAAUACAGCCGAGGCUAGGACUGAACAGAGAAUGUUACCUAGCCUGAAAAUGUCUGUUGAAGAAGCUGGAUUUUUGAUAGUACCUUAUGUAGUUACAGAUACACUGAUAGUGGCAGAAAAAAAAAAAAGAAAAAUAAAAAAAUUGACCAUGCUAUUAAAUUCUAAGAUGGGUAUUUGCAAACCUUUGGUAAGAAAAGGCAUUUUUGGUCAGCAAAGCUGUGUAUGCUAGACCAGGCAGCAGAACAAACACAACGGAGCAGUCCUUGAAUCAGGACAAAUAAGUGAUUGUUAAUGGCCUUUGUCCUCUGUUGCUGUUUUUGUGCCUUUUAGUGCAGGACAUUUUGCUCACUUACUCUAAGUAUGAGACUCUUCAUUCUGCAAUUUCAUGUUAUUACAGAGAAGUUGAACUCUCAAUUAAUUGCAUUGUUUAGGAGCCAAUAGACUGUUAAUAAUUAUCUCAUGAAACUGUCCUAGAUUUGUGUUGAAGUAUGAGACAAAUGAUUGCUGUGCAGAAGAUUCCAAUUUACCAGGUAUGAUUCGAUGGCAAUUUGAGAGUAAGACGAAAAAGGCAACCUGUGAUCCAAACGUUGUGAAGCCACAGCUGCUUCUGCAGAAGGGCAACUCUGCUGGGUUGACCAUGUUACUGUAGCAUCUGCAGCAGUCUGUAGUUUUUCUUUAACUUGUUCAGUUCUACAUAGUAGAGGUUCCUUCCUACAACCUCUUCUACAACACACAGUUUUUAAAAGCCAUUCUCCUUCCUUUUACCAUUCUGUUCUACCUUUGGCUGCCAUUUUUAUGUUUCUGUAAUUUCUUUUUCACAAGCAAUACACCUCAUCUCACUGGAAAUAUCAACAUCAGCUUCUCUUUCUUAGUACAUCACUUUUUUUUAAGAGAAGAUGCUUUAGUUGGGUUAAGGUCUUUAAGGGAGGUCUAACAGUAACACAAACGCUAUCCUAGAAAUUGUAUGGUUUCAUAUUUUGUUGUUGUUGACAAAGAAGAAUAACUGGUAAACAGGUCUCUCCCUGAAAUUCUUUAUUUUGUAUACACAGUAUACUGUUAAUCAUUUGCACCAAGGUCAAUAGCCCCUGAAAUGCUAUUACUAUAAAUCAGUCUGAUAUUAGAGGAGUAUUUUCACAGUUGUGUACGUGAAAUCAGAAACUUCACCUAAAAGGCAGUAAACUCAUUUCUGAUCUGCCAUACAAUAAAAAUGUUAUUUUUCAUCAGUUUUCAAAAUUGUGGUGCUUUUCUGUGCUUAAAAUAUUUUCCUUGCUGACAUUUUAAAUUGUAGGUAUGUUUUUGUGUUGUUUAACCAAAAUAAGCAACAUGUUGUGAGAUAAAAUAGUUUUUUUUCUUUUUAUAGCACAAAGCUUAAAUAAUUAGCUGAUACGUAAAUUACUAGAUUAUAGUUUGCAGAUAUGAAUUUUACUUAUUUGAAUAUGAAGAGAGACUGUCAUAAAUGGCAUUAAGCCUGGACUGGUAGUUUUGUAUGAUUCAGCUGGUGCUGACACAUUUCGUAAUACAGCUUAGACAGUUUCCCUCUAUUUUUAUAACCACAUCACUUCAGAUAUUAGCUCAAAAAGGAGAAUAGCUACAGACACAGUUGUGAUCAAACUGAACUCUGUUCUGAAAUGGAAAACGGUGAUUAUAUGCUGGUGUCUGGGAGCUCCCUGUGGCCUAGUGACGAUGGCUCACACCCUUUCCCAUGUUGGACUGUAGAUUGGAGAUAAUUACUGAUGUUCCCAGACAUUUCUUUCCUUGCUGGGAAAUUGGUUGGUUUUUUUUCUUUUUCUUUCUUUCUUUUUUUUUUUUUUUUUGCCUUCCUAGUGAUCUUGAAAGGCCUUCCCUAAGUAUUGAGCCCAAGCUAGUUUUGUGGCAGCUUGCUUUCUGGCAACCACCAAGUGGGAGAAACUUCUCCUCCAGUCACUCCCUGUGACUACCAUCUUUACUAGUUGUUAUUUUUAUGUUUUUCCUCCAACAGCCAGUUAUGGUGUCACUAAUGUAAUUAAGUGCUAUUUCAUAUCUUUCAAAACCUUCAGUGUUUCCUGUUCUUUUUUGCACUUGCCAAGCUGGUGGCCAUUCCAGAGGUGCUGGAAUGCUUCAUGAGUGCCUUCUGGCUUACAGAAGCUAUGUCCAAUAUCUCCUUCUGCAGUCUGUUUUUGGGCUGCCAACUGUUCCUCUUUGGUUUCCUGAAAAUGGUGUCAAUAGAAUGAGGGAAGCCUGGCUGUCAUCCUGAUUGCACCAAGAUGGGAGGAGUUUCUUGUGAGACAAAGUCUCUUGCUUCUGUCUUUGUAUCCAUACAAAGCUCUACAAGCUGAUGCUUGAAGCUUGUAGGGUUAACUGGAAUGCUGUUCAUACAGCCAUGUUCAUAGAAUCAUUGAGUUGGAAGGGACAUUAAAGGUAACCAAGUCCAGAGCCCAUCCAGCCUGACUUUGCAUGUCUCCAAGGAUGGGACAUCCACCACCUCUCUGGGCAGCCUGUUCUAGUGCUUCAUUACCCUUAUAAAAACAAAACAAAACUUUUAAAAUGAUGUUAUUAGAUGGCUUCAGCUCUUUUUGUUUUCAUUUUUUUAUUUUCUUUUUCCUGUCAGAGAUGACCUCUGUGUGAUGACCUCCAGUUUUUGGUAAUGCCCAUACUGAUAACUUUUGGUGCCAUGUUAGACUCCACUGUGCGUGCAGUGUAGAGCACAGGUGAAUGAACCCUGCUGGCUUGGAAAACAGAGUGCUGAACAAAAUGUUCUAGCCGAUCUGAAGCCAGCUAGGUGUCAGUGGCAGGAGUGGUCAGAAUUGUCAUUAAUAUGACAUACAGCCAAGAACAGAAGUGACAGAAAAUAUUUAAUAACAGAAAUUAAUUUAGGUGAUUUUGUAAUGUUGCCAUAACAAGCUCUGUGAAGUUAGGCUUAGCACAAAGCCCUGGUAGUGUGCAUUGGUACAGAAAUUUAUUUAGGCAGGAGGCAGGUUUGCGUAUUAUAGGGAAGCUCUUCAUUGAGUCAGCAGUCAUUUCUUCUACAAUUCAUAAUCUGCCAGUUCUGUCCAUGGAAAAUAAUCCUAAAAUUUAAUUAUUGUGCCUAUUUUAUUCUUUGUUCUUUACAUUUUCUUCGCCUUUUUUAUAACUGCUUUCCAAAAUGCCUCGCCGCCUAUAAACAUUAGGCUGCUACAUUUUUGAAGCUCAUGACAACAUUGUUCCAUAGAUGUGCAUCUGCUGGCUUUUGUGGGGUAAACACCCUCCAAGCAGAAACUAAGCAAGCUCAGUCUCUGUGGCGCACUAAGCCCUCAUGUGCCUUGGGAUCAAGAGUCCCCGCUCUGUUUUCAUGUCACUCACAUGAUGCUGUUUCGCACUUGGCGUACAGCAUUGGGUCAGCACUUCCUUGCUUUUUGAGAAUGCUUCUCUUUUUAGAAAAAAAAAAGAAAAAGCAAUUGCUUGAUUCUAACUCCGCUUUGCAUAAUAAUAGCAGCUUUUUAGGGCUAAUAAGUGAGUAUUUCUAAACUUUCCAGCUCCUUUCCAGGCAAAAGCUAGCAGUGUAGAUUACUCAGCAGUAAAAAGAAAUACAGCAACAGCAAAUAAAGCACAGGAAAACAAAUAGUGUUUCUUGGGAAAGGCCUUCAUUAUUUUUGGAGAUUGAUUCCUCUUUAAAAAUACAUUAGGCUGAUCACAGUAUGCCUUGGCAGAAAUUUUUGGGAUAUGGAAGGAUAUUUUACUCAGUGACUUGUGGAUUUGCAUUGCUCAGGCAAGAAGAUAAGAUGGACAAAUAGAAAAAUGUUAACUUUGAAUGAUGUCUAAUGGUCAGUCAAGGCUAUUGUAUAACUUGUCUGCUUCAUGACAGAUAAGCAACUGCAGUGCAAGGACUACACACAUUUAUUAGUUUAAAAAUUCUCCUUUAGCUUUAUCUAAAUCGUAGGAGCUUUUUUUUUAUUCCUAUGACUGAAUCUGUGGUAACCUCUCCUGUCCUCACGGUGCAAUCAGGGUGCUACUUGAGGGGAAAGAAAAGGAAAAACAAAGGUAAGAAAAAUUUUUAUAAGACCUGAGAACUGUUUCCAACUUCAAUACUUUGAGUGUACCUAGGCAUUAGUAGGUCCUUUGACUCUAUCUCCCACGGUAUUCUCCUGGAGAAGCUGGCAGCUCAUGGUUUGGACAGGUGUGAUCUUUGCUGGGUAAAGAACUGCCUGGAGGGCAGGGCCCAGAGAGUGGUGGUGGAUGGAGUUAAAUCCAGCUGACAUCUGGUCAUGAGCGGUGUUCCCCAUGGGUUGGUAUUGGCACUGAUCCUGUUUAAGAUCUUUAUUGAUGAUCUGGAUGAGGAGAUUGAAUGCGUCCUCAGUAGUUAGCAGAUGACACCAAGUUGGGAGGAAGUGCUGAUCUACCUGAGGGUAGGAAAGCACUACAGAGGAAUCUGAACAAGCUUGAUUAAAGGACUGAGGCAGCUUAUGUGAGGUUCAGCGUAAGCGUUGAGUCCUACACGUUGGUCACAAUAACCCUUUGCAGUACUACAGGCUUGGGGCAGAGUGGCUGAAGAGCUGAGUAAAGCAAAGUCACUUUUAAAAUAAAGUCAAAAACUUCAGUAUUAGUCAACAGCUGGCAGAACAUGAGCCAUCAGUGUUCUCAGAUGGCCAAGAAGGCCUAUGACAUCCUAGCUUGUAUCAGGAAUAGUGCAGCCAGCAGGAGGUGGUCAUCUCUCUACUUGGCACUGGCUAGACUGCACCUCAAGUACUGGGUUCAGUUCUGGGCCUCUCACUACAAGAAAGACGUUGAGGCCCUAGAGGAUGUCCAUUGAAGGGCAAAAAGGCUGUGGAGGGUCUGGAGCACAAGUCAUGUGGAAAGGGGGUGAGGAAACUGAGAUGGUUUAGACUGGAGAAGAGGAGGCUUGGGGUGACCUCAUUGCUCUCUAGAACUACCAGAAAGGAGAUUGUGGUGAGGUGAGGGUUGGAUUUUCUCCUGGGUAACAGCAACAGAAUGAGAGGUAAUGGCCUUAAGUUGCACCAGGGGAAGUUCAGGUUGAGUGUUAGGAGUAUUUUCUUCUCAGAAGAAGUGAUAAUGCAUUGGAACAGGCUGCCCAAAGGCAGUGGUGGAGUCACAAUUCCCUGGACUUGUUCAAGAAGAGAGUGGAUGUGGCACAGAGGGACAUGGUUAGUGGCCGUGGUGGCAAUGGGUUGGUGGUUGGACUAGAUGAUCUUAAAGGUCUUUUCCAGCCUUAAUAAUCCUAUGAUUCUAUGAUUUCAGAUAUCAAAUGUCUGGCUGUAUGUGUAAGUUUGGUGUGUUCUGUUCAGUUGAGUAAAUUCUAUUCUGUAUGUGAGUUGUUGGGGAGGACAUGCUGCUUUGAGGAAAACUGGUUUAGGAAAGAAAACAAAUUGUGGAACUAAUAUAGCUGUAGUGCCAUUUUGUUUGUGUUCAUGUAGAGUAGCAUGCAGCUUAUGAAGAGAUCUUUAUAAUUGUUUUUGAUAACCAGUCCAAAAAAAAUGUGGAAGGAAUUAGCACUAACAAGAAACUCCAUCUUGAAAUGUCGACUAACAGAGAUAAGGAUCAUCUUUUCCUGUAUGUUUGUAGGGCUGAUGUACAGUUCAGCGCUUGUAUAACACAAAUGUACAAGUGAAGUAAAAACGGUGAUGAUGUCAAGAACUGAAUUCUCUGUUCAUUCGCUCUCUACAGUGACGUGCUUCUCUUAAGACUUAAACUCAUUUACACAUGAGGAGAGAGCAAGAGUUGUAUGUUGAAUUAGAAAUAGUUUAGUUUAGAAAUAAAUGGUUUGUUCUUCUGCUGGCAUAAUCAGUGACAGUGCCAGGUUUUAGUGUUUCAGUUAUGUAUAUUGAAAGAGAGAAUUGGCACUAAAGUUAUCAGACUGCAGUUAUCAACUCGAGGUUUAAAAAAAAAAAAUAAAAAUCAAUCAAUCUUAUAAUAUCCAAAAGAGCAUAUUGCUCAUUUCUGUAUGCAUGGCUGUUUUUAUAAUCAAAUGCAAUUUUAAUCCCUGAUGUCUUAAUGUUUAAAAAAAAAAAAAAAAAGGAGAUGAAAGAAUCAAGACAAUCUAUGCUUGCUGUGUUGUUUUCUGCAUCUGAUUUUGCAACCGCAAUCUUCAGUAAAUGGCGUUGCUCUCCCUGUGGUUGCCCAACUGACGUCAGUGGUGGCACCGCAGGGGGUGGACAGCAGUGGAGCCCUCCCAUGGAAGGACACAUGAUGCUGAGGACAGCUGGAGGCUUGCCAGACAGCUUUGCACUCUCUCAUAGAAAAUGACUUUCUUAACCUGUUGCGUUAAGCCUGAGAGAAAUGAACCGAUCUACCAGAAUAAAGUAUAUCCUGAUAUUUGAAACCAAAAUAUUUUUGGUGGUUGCUGAAUUGAGUAUCUCUCAAGAAGCUUGAUAUGCUAAACCAGAACUAGAUAAAAUGCUCUGACUGCUAUUCCUGCAAAACCAAAACCAGGGGGCAGUUAACCCCAACCCUAAACAGCAGGCUUUGCAAUGUUGCUGUUUGAUGCUGGAUGCAGCAAUCCCUUGUGCUUCUCUGGGGCUCAGCUGGCCCCAGCAUGGGCUGGGAGCCCCAGCACAGUGAUUCCAGGGUAGCCCCAAUGCUUGAAGUGAUAGGUCUAGCAGUUAGGAAAUAAACAGCAGUUACAAAAUGAUUAAAGUCCUUGGGUUUUCUUUAAUAAGAUCUUGGACUGUAAGUGAAGGAAUCAUCUGAAAUAGGUCUUGAUAUUAAGAUAUGCAAAAGUAUGGUCUACGCUGAAACUUGAGUUCUUGGAACAAUUACUUUCUUUCCUGCCUGAAAGAGCUGUGUCAAGGUGUGCUCUGAGAAGGCAGUCCCUGAUGGCUGGCUGAGGUGCCAGCAGGCCUCCUGCAGCGGAGCACUGACCUCAGAACGGCCCGGUGCCCUGGGGAGAAAUGGUAUUUAUUUAGCUUUCACAUGAUUAAAUUGGGAUUAAGUUGGAUAUGUAAAAGACUGUCCUGUACCUCAUGCUCUCAGCUCAGAUAUUAAGUAACUGUUUCCUAGGAUGUAGAAUGAAAUGUUGACAGGGGCCAAAGCACCUUGUUCUUUUGUUUCCAGGGAAGCGAGAUCCAGAUGUAGAGAGUGUUGUUCUUGGGAGCUGCUUUGUACAGCUUCAUCCUUCCUCAGCUGAGCCAGUAAAGAAAUCUGAGGGUAACUAAAGGGCAGAGGUACAGCAGUAAUAUGCAGAGGAACAUGGCUCCCCAGGGAGGUGGUUGAGUCACCAUCCCUGGAUGUGUUUAAAAUUUGCUUGGAUGUGGUGCUCAGGGACAUGAUUUAGCAGUGGGUUGUUAGAGUUAGGGUAGUUUGGUAAGGUUGUGGUUGGACUUGAUGAUCUUUAAGGUCUUUUCCAACCUGAGCAAUUGUAUGAUUUUGUGAUUCUACGAAAUGACCAGGCCAUCCUGGGUAAUGGAAAUUGGAGAACUGUGAAAACACGGGGACUUAUUGGUGCAACAUGCUGUGGGAAUAGAAGCGCGCCAUUUCCAGUACUUCAGGGAGGUAAGUUGGAGCUAGCUUUGAUACUCACUGCCUGAGUCCUGCUAUGUAGGCCUCCACACAACAAGUUGAGGAGAUCACACCUUGGAUGAGGUUGGGCAGGUGCCCAGAGCCCCUUCUGUUCGGUGCAGCCUGGCCAAGGGCUCUGACCAUGGCAUUGGAUUGUCCCUGGCAGCACGGGAGGAGGCACGGCCCUGCAGGGCCUGCCAGGAGCUCACUGAAUCCCAGUGCCUGGGGAGUACAGCAUGCCGGAAUCCUGUCAGCAGGCCUGUGAGAGUCUUUUCUAUGUUUCAUCUUGUGAAGAAGGGUAAAUUGUCUCAUGUGCUGGGCAGCAGCAGUCUAGGGUGCACCAGGGCAGGCUUAGGUUCUUCAGAAAGUUGCAUCUCUUCUUCCACAUCUCUUGUCUCUUUGAUUGCUCUUGUAUAACUUUGACACGCCUCAGUGCCUGCAGCAGUGUGUGCAAAUGGUGAACAGAGGCUGGCAGAAAACAAGCAGGGCGGGCGGCUGUCCCACAGUGGAAUUGUUUCCAGAAGUGACUCUGUAAAAAUGACAGCAGGAGGUUCUUACACUUGUUCUUUCAAUCACUUUCAGAUAAAACUCUGCUUGGUUUACAAGUCACAAGGUGAUUUUUCUAACAGUCAGUAUUUCAAACUCUCACAUUUGGGUUUGACAAUCAAGCUGUUUUCUGUCUGAAUCUUACUUCAUUGCCAGUAAUAAAAAUUCCAGCUCACUCAGCCAUGGUAAUAUUGGUUUUGCAGAGCUAACAGUAGUAAAAGCUUGUUUUUGUCAGCAAAGUUAACAAGAUUAAGUCUCAAAGAAAUGCCACCAAGACAACUGAUGUAUAGGAAAGUGCUUUCUUUUGUUGGUGACUCGGACCAAGCUCUACUGAAACGACAAGGAGCUUGUUUCAGCAGCACCAGGUUUUGCUCAUUGUCUUGCCUAGGCAAAGGAAAAAAGAUCUCACUUCAGAAGUGUCGAGGUUUAUGCAUCUUGCUCUGUCUCACUGACUACUGCAACAUGAUUAUUCCUGGCUAUAGGACACACUUCCUCUCUUUCCUUGGUUUAUUGCCAGUAUUUGAAUCUCGGAAAUUAAAUCAUAUGUUAUCAUCAAGCAGAUUUUUUUUUUUCACAUGGAAUUUUGAAAACUCUAAUUAAUUGCUGAUGGGAUCCAUUCUUCUUCUUUGUCCUCCGUUUCUUAUUAUUUCCUUACUUCACUGGUGUCUGGCAAUUUCUGUUUUUAUUUAAUCCUUCAUAGAGUUGACAACUUCAUUUUGAAAAAGAAGGAAAUGAUACCUUAAAAGAAAAUGCCAAAUAUAUCUGCUUAAUUGUCAUCUGUUUACUCUGCAGUCUGACGGCAGAACUAUCUGUCUUCCCAGCCUCCUGCUGAUUGUCAUUUUCUUGCUGUCACAAAGAUUAUCAACUUACAAAUGCCCUGUGAAGUCGGAAUGCUAUUUCACAAUCCUGUGCUCAUUAGUCCUGUUAGCAAGUAUCCUGUUAUCUUCUUUCCUUUCACCCUUAGCUUUCAGAUGUGAACAUGACAAGUAUUUUAUAGGACCAUAAAGUUAAAAUUCACAGUUUGGGGCAGUGUCUUUUGAAGAUAGAGAAAAACCAUAUCAGUUGAGGAAAUGUUGCCACAGAAAAGGGAUGUGGUCCCCCUUUGAUAUGCCUCGAUCUUCUGUUCAGAGGAGUUGCGGCUAGGCUUUUCCAGCUGCUGUCAGAGAUGUCUCUUGGCUGUUCAGUUGCAGCACUUGCUUGUGGUGCUACAGAAUGUGUGGGAAUUGAGUAUGCCAGCCUAGGCAAGAGCAGAGCGUGUGCAGUCUGUCUUGUAUUCUGCAAACUACAUUGUCGACAUUGAAAUCUGUGGUAUCCUUAUUGAGAAAGUAAAAUGUAGCUCUGGUUUUGGUGGACCUGCUGCUUGGUCACUUGUAGCAUAGUCCCAUGAGUAUCUUAUGGAAAAUGAGCGGUGUCUUGGUUUGCUUUUCCUGACUGAUUCGUUUUCCAUUUAACCAAAUGCAAAGGGACUUUUCUAACAACUAAAUCACAGAAUAUCCUGAGUUGGAAGGGAUUCAAUCAUAGAGUCCAACUCCUGGCUCCAUACAUGAUCACCCAAACUUCAAACCUUAUGUCUGAGAGCAUUGUCCAAAUGCUCCUUGAACUCUGCAGGCUUGGGGACAUGCCCACUACCCUGGAAAACCUGUUUCAGUGCCCAAAUAUAGUGUGCCUUGUGCUGGAGUAUAUGGAGAGCAGGUAGGAGAUCGAGAUGUGGGGGGGGAAAAAAUCUGAUGCUGCUGAUUUGGGUGGGAGCAAGAUCGUGUCUGGUGUCUGGCUAGUGGAUGGCUGUGCAUUUUGCAGUCUCCUCAGAAACCAAUGAAGGCUCCUCUGGUGGGGCAUGUUUCAGUGGCUCUCAGGUAUUUGUUGUGUGGAGUGCCUGAACUCUUCAGUCUCAAACCUUGUUAGAAGAUAGACACCCACGUCUUGUUUUGGAGUCAAUGUACUCAUUAAUUAGAAAUUCAAGUGAGCGUUGAACUGCUCCCAGCAGAUUAUUUCUGCUGUGAUCUGCCUUCUUCCCAAUACGUUAGUUCUGCUAAGAACCUGUGUCACCUCCUGCUGGAGUUCAUGUCCUGCCUUCACAGACUGCUCAUUCUGCUUACUGCAAGAGGACCAUGUCUGGUGGGCAGCACUGCUCACAGUGAGGAGCCCCAUGCUGGGCCCGUGUUGGAGUUGCUUCCCAGCUAUCGACUGCAGGGUCCGGCCUGUCUCUCCCCAUUUGGGGCAGGAAGCAUCAUUCGGAGGUUAUUUUGCCUAUGAAGUUUGUACUGGGGAGGCUGUUAGUCCUUGCUGUUGAUUCUAAGCCCUGAGCAGAUCAAUAGCGAACGCAGGAACAUAAACAAAACCAAAUUAGACACUGCCAGUUUGAGGUUUCCCCCUCUGUGGGGCCCUUGUGGUUCAUGGGCUCAAGCUGUGAAUCAAGGCGACUGUGUUGCCACAGUGAUCUCUUAACCAAUGGCAAGUGUUUCGUUCCUUGGGUUCAGCAUGGCGAUUUCAUUAAGUUCAGCACAGGAACGUGAUUUACUGCGAUCUUUUUGGCACCACUCGUUUUUCUUGUGGAGUUAUCGACUCAAAGGCUCCAGUGUCCAGGUUCUGUGGGAGGUUUGGGUCUUUUUCUUUCUCUUCCUUGCACCAAACGUAUUUGUGUGCCAGGUGUAAAGUUUUGGGGUAGCUAGUGUGAUUUUUCUCUUGAGAAGCUUAUACAAAACAGAUUUUGCUCUUAUCAUUUUAUAGCUUCUGUCGGUUACACACAGAGCCCCUUUCAGUUUAUAUUUGCCCUAUGCCUCACAGCAAAGAUUAUUUCUUUCUUCCGUCUUCUUUCCCUAAUCUGUUUGUUUGUUCCUAUAUAUUUCUGCCAUAGUUUAACUAAAGCUGGGAGUUCAGUGCAGCUUUGUGGCUUAGACUGCUUUGUGCUUCUGUGCAAACUGCCCCUUCGUGACACUCAGUUUACUGAUACCCUUCCUUUGGAAAGUGGACAGACACUAUUUGCAAGAAUUUUAGAGCUGCAGGAGGGGAUACCUGUUGCUCUUCUUCCUAAAUCAUUACAGAAGACUACUCCUGCUGAAAAUCUGCAGGCUCCCAUAAAUCACCAGGGUGAAAAAAAUCUUAUUUUAAUAUGCAUAGUGAUAUGCAUCUCUUCUGAUCAAGGUCCUGGUUCUUUUGUUUUGUUUUCUUACUGAGUUAAAACAUGAGUACCCAGUGUUGAUUUUGGAGAUAACAUUUUCUGGGUAGAACAGCAGAGUGCCACUUGUGAUGAUCCGUACCAGUGUACAAAUACUCUGAAUGCCUUGGCUCUUCCUUCUGAUGCAUCUAUGCUUUCAGUAUUAUUCAAACAUAGAGAAGUUAAUAAAAAUGGACAACAUAGAUACAUCUUCAGUUUUUUACUAUACAUUUUUAGGUAGCUCUAGGCAUAUACUGCAAAUGAGUUGUGGUAGACUUUCAACUGUUCUGUCAGCUAGGGCCACUUGCAGCAGAGGGGAGGAAGGCUGCCAGGCACCUACUGCUUUAGCUGCCAUGGAGAGCAAUUCAUAGGCCAAAUGAUGGUAGGUUUGAGGUAUUAGAAGAUGAGUUUAUUAAAUUAAGCUUCUGUAGUGUUUCUAGUCAGGGACGUGAACGUGGCUCUUGAGCUAUUUGGAAAAAGAAAAAGAGAAGGAAUAGUUAGUAGUAAACCAAAUAAAUAAAUAAAGUCAGCAAUUUGGACAUGAAAAGCUGUUUUCUGGCCUUUGCAACCUGGGUAAACUUUUGUGGGUUGAGUGUUCUUGUUUGUACAUGAGGCUGAUUAUUGUGAGCCCUCUACCCAAGAUUGCUGGGCUGUGUCAAUCACAUAGGGAUCUAACAAAAAAAUGGCAUUCUGCAGCCAAAUCCAGUUUCUGAUGACUCAGUUGGUAGGGUGUGCAGCCAAGAUAUGUGCCCUUCAGUGACAUGAAAACCACAGUCGCUUGUGGAAUAUAGGGUUCUUUUCCUUUCCAUAAAGCAAGUGGAGCAAAAGAGUUUGCAAAUAUGGCAUAUUUUCUAGAUAAUAAACUUGAGUUUUAGGGCACGCCAUGAAAAAGGAUCACUUUAAAGAAAUGUCACUAAGAAAAAUAAAGCAAUUUUUUAAGUGCAUCAAGUUGGGUCAAGUUCUUACAUACACAGAGAAGGGAUGCAAAGUGCCAGCAUGUUUUGGUUUAGUAAGAAACUGGCUUAGGAAAAAAGUUAACUUGUAGGAAAAAGGAAGGCAAAAGAAGGCAAGGCUGUGAAAUCUGUUUGUUCUGUCUUAAAGUCGUUCAAAACUUACUCUUAACAUAAACCAAAUUUUGUAUAACCUUUAGAAAAGCAGCAGCAUGAAUGGGCUGGGAAGGAGCAACCCAAAGCGGGACAGCCAGGAGAGAAUGUGUAAGGGGAGGGAGCUGAGCAUGCCCUGGGUCUGCACGUCACCAUGCAGGUGCUGAACUGCAUGUUGACUGCAGAGAACUCCAAUUUAUCCCACAGAAGUGUGCCAGUAGACUUGGGAGCACUGUCUGAUGCAACAUGAAAUAAGUGACGCUCAGACCUUUCCCUCUGCAAGCAAAAUCAGUAGAUUGGAUGGGUAUGCCAGGAAUGAGCCUACUUGGAUGUGUCGUCGUCUUCAGCAGACAGACAUCAUUCAGUCAUUGGUUGGAGGUGCUCUGUGCUGCAAAGGAGAGGCUCAGCAGUUGAUAAAGUGGGACUGCAGUUGUAAUGAAGCUACUUUUUACAUUUUUAGAUUAAAAAAAAUAAGUUUAAAUAAGUUUCUCCAGAGAAAUAGCAUCUGUCUCUGCUGAUAAGGAGAAACGUAAUUUUAAUCUGUGGUAAUUCUAAUCCAUGCAUGGACAAUAGUAUUUAGAGAUGGAAAAAAUUAAGUUUUUGGGAGGAGCACAAAGGUACCAAACCUUUGGCAUCUCAGUAGAACCCUGAGACAGCUGGAGUCUUUUCAUUUAUUUUUAUCUGUGUUAGAGGUAUAUUCUUAAACCCUGUGUUAUUUUCCUUUAGGGGAAAAAAAAAAAAAGAAAGAAAGAAAGAAAGAAGGAAUUCUUCUUUAAGGACUGUGAAAUCAGAAACAGAAGCUCAUGCUACCUGGCCGAGUAGAACAUUUCUGAAGCUUUUUUUGUUGUGUUUCUGUCGUCUUCCCCCAUCUCCUAUUGCAUGUUUUCUGUUGUAUAAUUGUACAUAUUUCUACUCAAAGCCAGGCAGCUUCUCAGCAAAAAUUGGACUGACUGAGCGUCUUAGUUUCUUAAAACAGUACAUUCUGGCAUAACUUUUUUCUUACUUGUCUUCUGAGCUGUCAGCAAGGGAGAUUUAAGAACUUCCAGCGGAGGUUUAAAUGUCUGGCUUUCUGAAAACAUUGCAGCUCACCAGUUGUGUAUGUAAUUUAGGACUUGCUGGUGCUCUGUAACAAAAUCUUAGACUAUUUAUUUCCCUCUUUCUAACAUUAAAAGAAUAUUUUUGAGCAUGGAACUGUAACAUCUUUAUAUACAAAGCUCUGAAAUUUAUAGUAAUUUGUGGAGUUCGUUAGCUACCUCCACAAGUCUUAUGGAGACAACCAAACUGUAAUUUUUAACAGCCGUGCUCUUUAAAGCAUCAAUUUUUAAAUUCACUUUUAUCUUCUGAAGUUUCUAACCAUCCUGUUUAUUUUAGAGCCUUCAGGGCUCUCUGCUAAGACACUAUUAAAAUAAUAAUUCUGAUGGCUUGGGUAUCUGGAUAAGGGUUAUGGCUUAAAAAAAAUCCUGAUUUUUAAAACAAGGGAUGUUACCUAAUCUUUCCCAUAUGGACGUUUUGAAAAUGAAAAAUCAUUUCUUACAUUGUAAUUCUUCAAAUGCGGGUAACAGCAAAGCUGUGAAUUUGCAAAACCAGCUGAAAUGAAAUGACGAAUCCUGGCACGCGUUGCCAUUGCAUUAGCUGAUAGCGCCUGCACUGCUGUCCAGAACUUCGCUUUCGAAGUCUUAAAUACAGGCAGCAAUAAAGGCGUUAUAUAAUGCAGUGUUAGUCAAAAGGAGCAAAGGGAAAUAUCCAGAAAAUACUGCCUAUAGGAAAUGAGUUAACAAGUGAGUUUUAUUUCUUAACCUAUGACUUCUGACAUAUUUUGGUGAUACCAGAAUAUUCUGCGCUUUAUGGAACUGUGAUAUGGGUAAUUAAUGUUGUCUUCUUGUGCCUGUAUUCUUUUCAAACAGAAACAACCAGACAAUGAUAUGCUUGCUUUUCCUCAUACAGUCUUUAUUCACAGUACCUCCUGCUUGGCUUAUGGCUUCCUGUGAGCGAAGUCUCCUUUGUGCCAUGUGUCCAUGGGAAGCACGCAGGCAAUGCAAAGAGCGAUGGGGCAGUAGCCAGUAUCUUCCUGGUAGUGCUUUUGUGCAGCUCUUCUAAGCCAACCUGCUCUCCUGUCCUGUGUAAAGACUGGGGAGAAUUUGCAGUGCUGCAACCAGUAGGGUUCAACUGACUUGACUUUAAAUUAACCCAGGCCAAAGAAGAUGUAAUUCUGUAGGAAUUUGUUUGAUGGUGGAGUUUGUAGAGUCUCUUGCUGUAAAUGUUUCCUAACACAGUACGCUAGCAAGCCGUCUUACUUCUUUAUAUUGUUAUUUGGUCAGACUUCAAGCGUUGACUUUAAUUUGCCAUUCAGGGCUCUGCCUCGGGCCGCAUGUGUUUGCGCUUGGCUGUGUGUGAAAUCCCCAGCCCAAAGAAUUUCGCUGCUCACAGGAGCAGUUCCAUUAAAACAGACUAAUUUGGCCCACCUUGAAGCCCUGAAACUGGUGAUAACCUGUCAUAGCUUGGGUCCAAGAACUUGACCGUUUGUUGUAGCUGGGGUCUGGGCUUGCCUGAAGAACCAAUGGGAGCCUUUGUGGAAGAAAAACUUUGAGGGAGAAUUUCUUAUUGAUGGUUAGCUCUCUUUACUAGUUUUGUUUGUAUUAAUAAUGAGACUGUAAAUAUUUUUCUAUCAUAUAAAUGGUGUUGACUUUAGAUGGGAACAAGUGGUGUUUACAGUGGGAGGAGAAAAUUAACAUCAGAUUAUUUAAUCAAGGCAGAAAUUGCAGCAUGUUGUACAUUUUGGAAGGUAAGCUGCUUGCAGAAUAGGGAGAAAAUGCAAAAGAAUUAAAAAUAAUAAUAAUCACGUUUGUGUUGAGUUCCACUAAUGCUUGAGAGUGAUGUGCACAAUGUAAUUAUAAAAGUGUGAUGUUACCAGGAAACAUAAUUUAUUACUUUUUAUGGCCAUCAAUAAAAAAAUAAAGGCCAUUCUGGAUGUAAAUGUGCAGAUACAGUGACCGCGAUGUUGCAAGCCUCAUACUUACAAGUAAACUGAAAUGCUGGUAGACAGAAAGUUAUUUUUAAAGUUCAGUAAGUUCUGUUUUUCCAUUGUUUAGAAAUACCCAAAGGAAAUGGCUGCAUAUAAUGGAUUAACAGUUUAUACAUUUUCCUGUCCACAGCUGAAAAAAAAUAAAAUGAAAUACUGGCAUGUGGAAUCUGAGCGCUCAGUAUCCAGCUAUAAAUUGCACAGUCUUUAAUUUGUAGUAAUCAUCAUAUCUUCUCCAAGUAUUUCUAGCCUGUUCUCCUUUAUGGGACUGUGGACUCCUCUUGUCAAACUGUAUUGCUAACUGGUAGCAAAUGGAACUGGAUUUAUUAAACUAACAGUUUAUUAAGAUGUCAUUAAACUAUUACAGUCAGAUGCCAGAUAGGGAGCAGUUAGAAUUGUCUUAAUAUGUUUGUUGGAGCUGCGGGCUAUUCUCAGCUUGGGAGCUCAUUUUUAUACAUUCUGUAUUUUGAACACCAUCUGCCUCUCAGCCCUCCUUAUUUUCACCCCAUCCCUUUCCCCCAGACCAAAUUCUCACCAACCAAAGCACCCCAGAAGGCAGCCUGCCCUUUGGCUAGCUUGCUCCUUGCUGGGACCACAGAAAAUUAGAGGACUCUAUAGAGUCAAAAUCGGAAGGCUUUUUUUUAUUAUUAUUAAUUUUUUAAAAUUGAGCUCGGAGAAGAGCCUGAUUAGCAUUUCAGACUUCAUUUGGCUCCAGCGAUUUGGGCGUGCUCCCAUUGCCCUAAUUAGAAGCAGCCCUGGGCGCUGGCUGCUGGGAGCAGGGAGCGAUGGCCCCGCUCCUGCCUUCGUUGGGGCAGAGCCUGCUGCAGCCCGCGGAGCUCGCUGGCAAAGCAAGCCUGGUGGUGCGGUCUGCUGGAGACCAUGUUGGAUUUAUAUAAUGCAAUAAUUGUGGAGCGAAUACGGCUCGUUCCCUUUUUGCUCCUUGUUUUGAAUGCUUCUCUUCAGAGUGUUUGAGCAUUUUACGGAGACCUUUCGGUUGGCUGGCAAAGGCAGGACAGCAUCCCUUUCUAUAAAUGGAAUAAUAAUCGCUCUGUGCGCUGGCCAGCAGUGACCAACAUCUGGGUCCUGGUUAUCGGUUAUCUUUUAAUCUCAAAUAUGUGGAACAUCUUCCUUGUCAGUUGCUCUUUGCCAGGGCCCAAAGCAUAGUCAGGAGGUAGAGCUGUUGACUGUGUGCUCCUUGCCUGGAAAGCAGGGAGGAAUACGGCAGCACAAAGUGAGAGCAAAUGAGGAUGGUGUUCUGACCGCACUAAUAGGCUCUUCAAGAACCAGGAAUUUGCCUCUUGCUCAACUGUAGCAUUUUUACCUUUGGAUGUUUUGAAAUAAAUAGAGAAUAAAGAAAAUGUGUGAACAUAUUUUAGAUGCUAAAAAGAAAUGCAUUGCAAUGCACAGCAAAAGGUGCUGCAGGAUGGUGAAAGUAGGUGAGAUCCGUACAGGAGGGGAGCGUCUGGGUUUCGCUCUCCGCCCCAAGGCUGAGAAGGGCUUUGCCUCUUUGCCAUGGAAAAGGAUGAUGGGGAAGACUUCUGUGUCUCUGUAAACAGAGGAUGAUGGAUUCUCAGAAAGGAGUAAUAGUGACUUGAAUGCAACCCAUGUUUUAUACUGAAAAUCAAUCAUUGCCUGAAAAGUCAAAGCAAUAAAAGCAGUAGUUUGGUAACCCAGCCCUGAUUCAUGGAGGAUUUGAGUUCUUGUAAAAAUGGACUUCUAAUUAGUUAAUGAAUUUUGGUUGGAAUAUGAUCUGAUGGCAUUCCCCUGUUGGACUUUGCAACUUCGUAUUUUGGGGCUUUCUCUUGCAGUAGCAGGAUUUGGGUGCUUAUCAGCAGUCAGGUGAUUUUUUUUGUUACCAGCUGUGUAUCGGUGUAACUAAAUUGUUCUCCAGCAGCAUUGGCAGUCACGUACCAGCUCUUUAAAGAAGAAUGUUGAUAUAGUGCAGCCUAAUUUAAUGGGGAAGGAUGGAAUAUUUUUAUGUUUGAUUGCUAGCACCUAAAAAAGAGAAAGAAAAACAUUUGAAAGGCCUGGCCUUUCUAUACAUGACUUUUACCUUAAUCUUGAGGGAGGGGGAGGCUGGGAAAGCAGAGUUGCCUUCUGCAGUUAUGAUAAACAGACAUUUAUCAAGGAUGGUCUGCCCACACGCUAGGCUGUGGGAGCCCAGGGCAUCGCAUUUCAGGUGAAUAGAGCUCUUACUUAGGGCUCUAUCCCACAGAAAAUAGUUGAGGUUUUUCAGUCUGUAUGAGCCUAAAAUAUGCAGAUUUCAGCUUGCCGGAGACUGACCAGUGUGAGGGGAAGAUGCGGAAGUCUGAAGUCAAUGCUUCAGUGCCAUCAGCUCAGGUCUGGGGAUGGCACUCUCGGAGACCCCCCGGCACCAUCACCUCUUCCCUCUGGAAGGUGCUCGUGUCUCUCAAUGCUCUGAGUAGGCCAAGUGUCCUGAAAGGUGGGAAGGAGACCGAAUACAGGAAUGUAAGCAUGGAAGAAAUGGAGGCCAGAGCUGAUCAGAAAUUCUAAAGAAUGUGUUUAGAAAGGAGGGAGAAAACUGAGUGUAUCAAAUGUGUAUAUAUAGCUCACAUGAAAAAUAACAAGCCCAGGAUUUGGCAGCCACUAAAAGAAAAAGAAAAAAAAAAAGAAAUAAAAAAGGAACAUUUCUAUCCCAGCUUUGGUAGAGGAGGGACCCCAAACUCUCCAUCUUUAAGGCUGCAGAGCACACACACUGUUUUUGACUAUUUGCCACGAGUUGCUUUUUCUUCCUCUUGUGGACUGGCAGCUAUGGAGAUUCACUUCAAGACAGAUAAAAACUUUAGGAAGUGUGGCUGCUUUUUGUUUUAGCUCUAAAUCUAUUUGCACGGGAAAACAGUGGAAAAAAUCCUUCAAUUCAGAGAUAACGAAGUGUUCUGUUUAGAAGAUGAAACCAAUGUUAGAAACUGAAGAGAUGAAUUAUCCAGUGAGAAAAGUUUUUUUUCAAGGAAAUUCAACUAUGCUUUAGUAGUGGGGAGUUCUGACAGCCUGCUGGGCUGAAGCAGAUCUGGUGUGCUCUAGAAUCUGUGUUACUAGAAACCAAAUGGCUGAAUGAUUUAAUGUGAACAAUCUUAUAUAUAUUAUAGCCAUCAUUAAGAUACGUCAUUCUUUAGAAUGUCACCAAGAACUUGUCCCGAAUAAAGCCUCCUGCUCUUUAUCAUGCUGAUCGAUGCUGAGUUAUUUGCAUUUCAAAUAAACGAGUAGCCCAAGGACAGCUAGAGAACAGGAGUUAGCAAGGACUGGUCUGUGAAGUGCUUUGUCAGGUGAUAUCUUUUUGUGCUUACAGAUACGCAUUUAUGUUGAUGGGUGACAUGGCAAGGCUUUCAUUUGCUCUUGAUUUAUGUAUCUUUUUCCAAAUAAUUCAGAAUACCAUUAUUACGGUUGCUGCGAAGGUCGCGCUGUUACAAUGAGAAGAAAGGUGAGAUUUUGGUCAAGGAGGAUUGUACAGCGGUGCCUUUGGCGGAGUGAUUUUACUAACUAAAGAUCAGACUGUGAACUCCUCAGGGUAAAGACUUUCCUCAGUAUUUGUACAGUGCCUCACAGAAUGAGCUCUGGCGUGUGGUUGGAGUCCUUGGGCUCCAGCACAGCACAGCAAUGAAUAAAAGGUAAGUAAGGGGCAGCUGGACUGGUUGGCUGCCUUGGGAAAUCUCAACUCCUGUUUUAUGGACGUGUUUGCUGGAAUUAUUUGGCAUCGGCCUCAAAAUGAAGUGCUUCAGUUUGCCUAAAGGAGUUCUGCUUCAGUUGCUCUCAGAAUGGAACGUAAGGCUGAGAUCCUUCCUAGGCUGCACACAAGCCUGUGUAAAAGUUGGCUUCGGAGGUUAACAGUGUUACAGUUACUGCUCGACAUAUUGGAAAUCCAAGUGUAAAUUUAUAAAUCAGUGCAAAAUGCUUUCUGUACCUCAUUGUGCUUGCUGUUGAUUUUUUUUCUGGUAUCUCUAGUAUUGCCAGCACAUUAUUACUUUUAAUUCCAUGCAAUUAGAAGACAUGAUGAACUGAGACCCAAAGCUACUUGCCUUUGCUUUCUACCAUAAAUGGUAAGAUGGAAAACAAGACUUAAUUUUGGUUAGCUUUAAAAACAAGAUAAAAAAUAGGUGAUACAGCAACAGGAAAUGCAGUUUUGAAGUGCGGUUUUCGUUGACUGAGAUGCAGUUACAUGGCCAACCUCCAAUAAAUUGGAGAAGACUGAUGAGUUUAAUGCUGCUGUAGCUGUGACUUGCUAGCAAAAGUGCCCUGACCCACGUGGGAUUUGCUUCCUACCUGUGCACUCGUUCUGUAUUGGAAAACUCUGUUAGCAGUUCUCUCCUAACCAUCACUUGAUCCACAGCCUGUUCAGAUGAAUGAAUCCAUUCAGUGAGUGCAGGAAGUAUAUUGUUAAAUACUGCUCUGGAGUAACGGAGAUUGGGCUGACUCUGAGCUGCCUGUUUCUUUUUGCCACAGACGCUACAUACUAAAGUUAGAUAGAUUUGUUUGUUUUAAAUCAAAAUAUAGCUCUUCUUUCUUCCAAUAUGGGACACCUGGCUAAAAUGUAAGAAAAGUAAUCAUUCAGCCCUUGCUGAAGGCAGCUUUCAGUAUGUCUUUCAAUAGGAGUCUUUAGGUUGAGGGAGGCAAAAUGUUUGUGGGGAUGCUUAGGAAGUGCAGCAGCAGGAUGGAGUUCAACAGGCAGUCACAAGGCAGAAGAAUUUAUAUAUGAUGACUUCAUUUGUUCUGAGCAUUUGGGAGUGAAUCCUAAGGUCAAAUCUAUUUUGAGUCUGAGAAGCCUCUUGUCAAGCGCCUCAUUUUGCACAUGGCUGAUCACUUUUUGGUGGGUGCUGUGUAGCUGCAUCUCCAGCUGCUCCCAAAGGGAAGCCCAGCAUCCAGCCAUGGUGAUUGCCUUUCCUCAUUGCUUCCCCACUUUGUAAUUCUGCCUGGUGUCCGGUUUGCUGUCCUUCCACACAGUGGCACCAAGGCAGAGGUAUGGAUCUGAGCUGGUGAGAAAUGUCACUUCCUGGAUGUCGCUGCCCUUUUUGCUUCUCCUCUUUCCCACUGCAGCUGCUUUGGGCAAGCAGAAAAUGCGUGGAGGUGCCAUCCACCAUUGAAAGCUUUCUGCUGCUGACAAGGGGUAAACCAGACACAAGCCUCACAGCAACUUCCGUGGGUAGGAAGUUGUAUGAAUGAGACAGCGGAUAAAUUUGUCCACAGCAGUGGACAACAACAGGGUGCUCAGCGGAGCUGGGCUUGGCUGUGGCAAAUUAGGCACUCCUUUUUUCCCUUCAGGUUUUAGUGACAGCUUCAGUGUUGUCCCAAGCAUUUUUGCUAUUUUGAGAGUGAAAAAGAGAAUAGAAUGGAGAUGGGGAAAGAAAAAAAAAAAAAAAAGGAAAUACACUCUAUUGGGAAGUGUCCUCUUUCAAGUUGCUGAUGGAGCUUUUGUCCCUUCAGCAGCAAGUUGUAAAGUCAGGUGUGUGCCUUUGUUAUGCUAUAAGGCUUCCUGUGAGUUUUGCCAUUGCCCCUAUCAAACCAUAUAUUUUGAGCACGAGUACUGCUGUAAAAUAUUCAUAAAGGCUUUUCAUCUCAGCUGCAGGUCACUUUGUUACCUUGUGUGCUGUGAGUGGGUUUGAGGUGGUGCUGGGAGCCAAACUUGUUCUAUGUCAUUGAGUGUUCUCAGGGUGUUUGUGCAUGAUAGAAGCUCUGUCUGUCAAAAAUGCCUAUACCGUGUACUGAGUCAGAACCAUACAGUGUAAAAUAUUUUAUCUAUGGCCUAUUAGAAAACAAAGAGCCAAUAAAAAUAGAACAUCUUUUAUCCUCCCCUUCAACAAAAGAGGCCAUCCAGCCACAGAGAUGCGGUAUUAUUGUUUUCAGUGGAGUGAUGUAAUACUAAAUCAAGGGUCAUCAGUGUCCUGACAGCACUUCAGCAGCCCCAACCCUCACUUUAAACCUGCAUAUUUUGCAGCAGGUUGUGCAUUUAGUCCCUCAGCUCAAUUUGAAUUGCAGAGGAUUUUCUGUAAGCAGGCCUUGAAAAGUUGCACAGGGAUUGGAAUUGCAGGAAUAGCUUUUUCUGCUAAUUCUGCCUGCCCUGACCAAGGAAGGGUGGUAAACAUCUCCACAACUAAAUGCCAACCAGGAACAGUUCCACUGUUGCUGGUUCAAACUACUUCAUGUGCUUUGAAAACCUGAAAGCUUUGACAGGGUGCUUACUAUGAACUGAUGCCAAGCAGUGACUAAACAAUCUCAUUAAAAAUGCAAGGUAACUGAAGCAAAUAUUUCCUUUGAAGAAGCACUAUCAGUUAAGUACUCAUUUCCUCUUUUAAGUCUUAGAUUAAAGCGGCAGAGACAGGUGGGCUGAUAAGAGCAAGAUAAGGCUUGUUGAGUUAGUUUACCAGCUAAUUUGGCAAAAAAAGCAGUCUUGUUUCAUGCAGUUUUAAGAGCUUGUGUUUGUUAUACGAGGCAUCAACUGUCUAAAUAUCUAGUGUAAUCGUGAAAUGUUUUUGUAUGCACAGGUAACCUGAUAUAUUUACAUAUUUUCCACAAGAUGUAAUACUGCUGAGAUAAGAUCUCACCUACAUAGUACCAUAACCUCUGAUACUAAUUCCAAGCUCCUAGCUAGACUUCCCUCUAACAACAGCGAACCCAGGCCAGCUGCAGUAAUAAUGUUUGUCUCUGUAUUCCUAGAACUGCUCCUGAACAUGGACAUACUUGGUGAUAGCCCAGAAUUCGGCUCUUCUGUAGGCUCUACAAACAGAUAAUAAAAAAAAAAAAAAAAAAGCAAAAAAACACCUCACCUUACAUGGGUCUGCUGUGUGUUCCAAAGCAAGUCAAACAUACAUUUUCUUAACAUUAAUGGACAGGAUGGAUUUUUUUUGUGUGUGUGUGUGUUUAGUGUGACAUUCAAGCUCCUAUCUGUGCCAGUGACUUGACCUAAGAGAAGGAGGUCCUUGGACAAGAGCAGUACAAGAGCCCUCGUUCUUGUGCAUCUUUGCUCCCUGUAAGGACUUGGUUUAUGAAGCGCUGUUGGGUACCAGUGCAGCUGAUGGGAUUUGUGAAUAGCUUUAUGAUAAGGUGAGCGAAAUGUCUGACACCCCAGUACAGAAUAUGCUUGAUGUGUAAUCUUAUCAGUUUUUUUUUUUUUUUUUUUUUUUUUUUUUUGUAAUUUUUCUCUCAAGUCAUUUUAAAAUACUGAAAACAGAAAUCGUUCAUAGCUUUCCUAACCAGGGCAUUGGAUGCUGUGUAGAAGCCAGGAAAAAACUUGGAAGUUUCCUGGCAAAGCUCUUGUGGAUCUAUUUUACACAUCAGACCCUCUCACAGAUAGUUUGCUCACAGAUGUUAGAAGACUGUAAUGAAGUUAAUGAUAAAACUGUAUACAGUGUGUAAAGACUGGACCUGGAAGAAUGCCUCUUGGCUUUAAUGGCUUUUGGAUAAGGCCCUAAGAAAAUACAGAAGACACUUCACAGACAAAAACCAUGCUUUAAUUUUUUUUGGCAGGCUGCUAGCCUUCAAACCACUCCCUUUUUGCUUUUCCAUCCCCUAAUAUUGUUGAGGUAUUUUGAUUCCUAAAUACAAAGGUGCUGUGAUGAUCAGCCUCCCAAACUACCAAGAUUUUGGGAGGGGACAGCUCUGAUGCAAAGAAGUUGUGUCACUGUACAAAGCACAUAAGCAUCCUGUUGCUGCUCUAAAAGGUUUCAACUGAACAUACUGAUUUCUAUUUCUCUUGGGGGUCCCCUGGCAUCCAGUUGUGAGUCAUAACAUUAAAGUCUGGAAGGAAAGAACAUCUUCAGAACUGUCUUUUACCUCUUAUUUUAGCGGUCUCCUAAGUGUUUCUCUGGGUCAAGCUGCAUUCAACUUUAGAAGAUGGGAACAUGUGGGAUUACAAGACAUCCGUGACUUUUUCCAUGAGAAAAUAAUAAUAAACUUUCAGUAAUUUAAGGAUAAGUUCAAGCUUUCCUCUGGAGACUCGUACAUGUAUUUGCAGAUGAGAUAGUUGUGAUGUUUGCUAAGAAAAAAAAAUAAUCUCACAACAGGAAAGAAUUUGUUUGGAGGAAUCUCUCCUCCGCUGCUGAGGCUUUUAACCAUUGUCUGCACUGAGAAGCUUUGUGCAGGGCUCCCAGCAUCACACACACCAGAUGUCAGCAGGAGUUGGCAGUGAGCAGAGCCGGGGUGCGUGUGGCUCCUGGUGCCAUUUGAAGGGCUGUGGCUGUUUGCACAGGGGGCUGUGAGAGCCGCUUUGUGUCCACGUUACCAUCUAGUCACCAGUAAGAUUAGGAUUCCUUCUAAGGCAGUGGUGGGGGAAAACCGGGGCUGAGGCCAGCCUGCAGAUCAUACAGCUCUAAUCACAGGGGUUGCGAUGCCUCCCAGGGUGAGAGAGGGAGCCCUGGGCUGGGCUGGGGCUUCUGGACUGAUAGCUGUGGCCCUGACAGGGUUAAAAAAAGAUCAGUGGAGUGCUUCAGGUGAAUCAUAAUGGCAGUUCUAGUUCCUCUGCUGCCAGCAGUCCUGUGUGGGUGAUCAUGGCGUCAGGGACUGGGUGAGCAUCCCUGGCAAGGGAAAGCCCUGCAGCUGCUGUACAGCACUCACGGUGUGCUGCCCUGCAGUGCUGCCAAGUAAUUUUGUCUGUUAAAGAUGUAACUUGUCCCUCUGCAUGCCCUUCACACAUCACAAAUUGUUUUACUCCGUCUCCUUUCACUGUGCUUUCCCUCCUACCUUUUGUAUUAUGGCCUGAGGUGCAAAAUGAUCCUUCACUUUUUUUUUUUUGGUAGCUUCAUGUGAGAGAAUUGUUUAGAUGAUCAGUAAGGUGAUGAAUUUAUCCUUCCAGCAGGAUUUUUUUUAAACACUCAGAGCAACAGAGGUAGUGAGACUUGUGUGAACGCUGAGAAAGCAGCUCUGCAUCUGGUUGUGAUUUGGGCCUGGAGGUUGGGUGAGCUGUGCAACCCAGAAGGAGAUAGCUUGGAGCUGAGAGAGAGAAACUUUUCCAUUUGUGCUGAAGGUGCUCUCUGCAGGACAGCUCUGUUCUGUCCUUGGUGGACUGGCAAGGCAGUGUGCAGGGCUGCCACGAUAUGUUUCCCUCCAGCCUUUUCUCCAUCACUUUCUCAAUGUUCUUUCUGUGCAUAAGUGGCCCUUUAAUGGAAUUGUUUUUUCCUGUAUCUCAUCACGAGAGCUGCACAUUUAUCCUUGUGUUUGGAAAGGUUUCUAAAUAUUCACAUAAGCUUCAGCGUAAUUUAUUUUCUUCUGUAGCUUAAUAAAAUCUUGGAUUUCAUUCUGACUAGCUUUCUUCAGGGAUUUACAGAAGGCGGUGGGGCUGGAACACAGGAUUGAGCUCAGAGACAGGAAAAUAAGGAGCUGUAUGAAUACCUAGCAUUUGCUUGGCAUGCUAUGAUGCAGCUCCAGUGCUGCUUGAAAAAAAAAAGCUCGUAAAUUAUUAAUACUUGUAGGAGGAAAUGAAUAUAGUAGUGGUUCUGCAAUGUCUGGGUUGCUCUGAAAUGUCGGGUAUUUAUGCAGGCUUCGAACACAGCAUUUUGAUCUGAAGGUGUUCUUGCUCCUGCUGCAUUACUGGAGCCCUUCUCUCUGGCAAGGCUGACCAGCACCAGCCAUUUCUUUUAGACAUUUGCCAUCCAGGUAAUGUCUGUGUACCUCCCAGAUACUUCAAACAUACAUUCUUCUUUCCCAUGUUGUAGAGGAAGUUGCCCGAUAGCUGUGCGUUCAUGUAGAAAGUGAAGGAAGAGAUAAAUGUUUGGCCUGUUUAGUUUUGACUGAGGUGAGACCCAUGGUGAUGUUCUUUCCUGUGGAAGAAUUUCUGCGGCCGAGACUCGCACCAGCAAACCUCUGUCUGGAACUCGGCAGCGUGCUGACAUGCUUGUUGGCAGUUCCCUUCUGCUGCUGGAAUGUAACUGCUGUGGGAGAUGGAUGCUGUAGGAGAAAAAAUAUUGUAGGCAGCUCUUCUUCCUUGCCGAGGAGGGGUCUGUAUCUCAUGGAGCAGGAUCUCUUAUCUGGUGCAGAUCUGCACAGGAUGAAUGUUUGCUUCUGCCCCGGGCUGGAUGUAGCUCAGCACACAGGGUGCUCAGCAGGCUGGGAUUUCCUGCUGCUGCGCUUUGGGCUGGGAGGAAGGGCUCCACACUACAGGUCAGCAGCACCUCUUCAUUUGUAGCUGCUUAUUCAGUCUACAGAAAAACGAUGCAGUUGUAAGAAUUUCUUCUAAGUUACUGUCACAUUAGCAUAUUUUGGCAACCAGAUAGCCCAGCAGAAGAGCUUUAAGCUAGCUUAAUUUUCAGUGCUUAACGAGAAUAAGAGAGGUCUAAAAAUAUUUUACAAACUCAUCUUUCUGUGUCAGCAAUCCUGUAGAACUCACAGUGCUGUAUGAGGAGGAUGGCAGUGAUGAUGUCAGACUAUCAGUGUGUUAAUUUUCUUUUUUCUUCUUUUUACUUUCUGAAAAGUGAUGGUUGUGUCUUUGCCACAACUUCUGUAGUUCUUUAGAAGGUUAAUUUGCGGAGUGAGGCAGGAAGAGAGAAUUUGGUACUUUGGUCUUUCUACCCAGAGGAAAUGAUAAUGAAAUGAAAAUUGACAAAAAUUCAAAUUCCUUAAUAUCUCUGAAGAAUCAGAUAUUUUUUCUGUCCAACUAAAGUGCAUUAGAGAGUGAAAUAAAAAGAGGGAUGAUAUUUGACCAUUCUAAUUUUUUAAGACUUUAUAAAAAUGAUUUAUUGUGACACAAGCUUUGCUAGUACUCUAAUGAGAGGUCUCUCAAGGUACUGCAAUAUAGUUGGACACUGGAAGCACUGAUCUUCUGCUACAUGCCAUCUAAACUACGGUAAGAGUUUAACUUCUAUGGGUUGUUUCCUACAUCACAUAAAUUCAUAUCUUCCUGUGCAGGUUGCGUGAACACACUGGGAAGACUCUGAAAUACAUCCCCCUUUCUUUGUGUUACUGGAGACCUUCCACUGUGUCAGUCAUUCUUAGAUGUAUUUUAGGACCUUGGGACAUAUCUAUUUAAUUUGAAAUGUUCUUUAUAUCCCUCAAAGAUGAUCUAAAACAAGUUUAUUUAUAUGUAGAAAAUACGAAUCGCUUUUUUGGAAAGUAGAAAUACUAACGUGCUUCUUAAAAUGGAGAUGUGGCCGAAUUCCUCUUAAAGCAAGCAAUAUGAGAUAACACAGAGGAGUAGAUACAGAAAAAAUAUUGGCUUAGUUAAUGGUGUUUUGCAUUUUAAAAUAGUUUUUACCAGGUAAUUUACUAUAAACAUGGCAAAUGAGAGGUAUUCACUUUAAAGGCCUUUCCAUUGUGUUUAUCAAAUAACUGUUAUAGUAUUUACAAUGCUGUAUCGAGUUGGAAAAACUCUGAAGCUGUUUUGUGUAUUUUCUCUCAAGGUUAAAGCUUUGAAUCAUGGGAUAAUGUGUGAUAUCUCUAGGGCUUCUUGAAACAGUUCAAGAACACGCACAAAGCACUGUGGUUUCUGCUAUAUUUGCACAGAAUUUAACAUUGUGUUCCUUUGGCUGAAGAGCAAAGAUGAAAAUAUCAAGGAAAAUAUCCUUUGCAUUAGCACCACAGUAUACAUUUCCACAACAAAAAUCCCUGCUGUAGCUGUGGUGCAAGGCGCAGGAGUUACUCACCAGCAGCUGGUCCUGCGGGCAGCUGGAAGCCCUCGCAGAAAUGCAAAGCUUACAUUGGCAGGGAAAUGCUUUCUGUUCUCAGACCUUGUGAUUAGCUGAAGGAAAUCGUUGCAGCUCUUGUGUCCCCUAAUACUUUCCUUUGCUUAUGCUUGCCUUAACGCUUGCUGUCAAGAUUAAUGCACGUAUCGCUUUGUCGCUCGCUGCUCUGAGCUGUUGUGUCUGAGUGGUUUCUGCAUGCCAGUUCUAGAGCUCUGGGGUAUUCCUGUAUCCAAAUACCUCACAGCCUCUAAUGUAUUUCUUCUCAGUGCCACCCAGAGAGCUGCUGCUCCAGCACAUGCGAGUAAACCGCUCAGCUGGGUCACGCACACUGUGGUAGACCAAGAACCUGAAGCACGGCUCCCUCUGUUCCCUGACUACUCCUUUGUCUCAGGUUUUAAACUCGCUUUUUGUACAAACCAAAAGUGCUUUGCUCCAUGCUCAGUUAGCUGCCGGGGCAGCGUGUGCUCUGUGUAACAAGGGAUAUCGAAGUGCAUGUAGUCUGUUCCCCAAGGCCUGUGGGCCUGUCUGUGCAGCAGGGCACAGAGCAGGGCCUAGCACUGAGCCCUGCAUCCCUGCCCGUGCUCGGGGACCUGCCAUGUGUUGUGAGGGUUGUGAUGUUAGAGGGCGUUCUGCAUUGCAGAGGGUGUGCACCUAUAUUUCGCUGUCAUUCUGACGUUUGUCAAGAAGCCAGUGUUGGCAUCUGCUGAGUGACCAGUGGAAGGGUGGAGGAGCUGCUUUGAUCUCUUGAGCCUCAACAUGCAGCAUUUGGCCUCUGGACAUUUCUAACUGUGCUUCUAUCUGGAGAUGCAUUUUUUUUUCCUCUGCAGGAGCAGCAGCAUUGUAUUUUAUGGUUGGAAAAAAAAAGGUGAAUUCUGACAUCUAGCUUUCUGAUGUGUACAAUUCACUAUCUGUUUAAUACAAAGUGCUGGUUUUGAUGUCUUUUCAGGAAGUUAUCUGUGAGCAUAUUUUCAGAGGCUUUACUCUGCUUGUGUGACAGCUUGAUAUUACUUACUGGUUCCACACAUUCUUAAUAGCCUUACUCAAAUAUUGCCUGACUUGUUUUCCAGAUAUUUUCAAAGUGUUUGUGAAAGCUUAAUAUUGCUGUAAUCUCUCUACAUGAAUAAUUGCAUGGAACCUGUUAUGAUUCAUUUAUUCUAGAGGGGUUUUGAAGUCAGUACAUGACAAUCUAUUUAUGAGUUGCAGCUAGUCCUUCAGCAUGCUGCAUCAUGCUUAUUACUUUGCACAUUUUAUGACUUGCAAUGCACAAUCUGUGUUGGUUCUGUUUAGCAAUGGGCUCCUUGUACACUUUUAGUCUAGGCUUUGAAUGUGUUCCUGUUUGAUCUGUGUCUUUGUCAGUUUAUGUUGGCUUUGGAUGAUACAGCUGUAAUGCAAAUUAUUUGCCCAGUCAACACUUUUUCUGUUAUGAAAUAAACUGCAGAAAAAAGUUCAUAUAGACGUUGAAGGCAGAGCCUCAUCCAUGGUGAACAUUAUUGAUUGUGGGUGUGCAGGUUUAGAUGAGCUGCAGCUGUUCCUAGUGAAAUGCAGUGUUCACCUGUACAAACGUUUGCAAGCUUCAUUUUUCAUCUGUACCUUCAGAAGCAAGCAAGAUGUCCUAGUGGAAUCCUAGUUUGGUUAACAAGUUGCUGGAGAAAGACAAAAUGAGCUUUCAGACAGACUGCUACCUCAUGAUGGUGACAAAUCUUUUUCAGGCUGUUUUCCAUUUCUUUGACUUUCUAUGGUCAUUCUAUAAAAAUAAGCAUUAAAUUGGAUAACAUUUGCCAAAUGAAAAACAGCACUUUAGCAUUAGAAAUUGGAAAUAAGGACCUAGUUUUACACUGAAACCAUUAAUAUACAUAUUUGCUUUUCUUGGUGAUCUGGUCAGCUUCAAGGGUGGCAGCAAUCACUUGUUGAGGAGGUGGCUGUCUCAUGGGCCCAGUUAGAGCUGUGCCAUUUCCACCUCAGCACAAAGCCACAGCACAGUCAUGCCAAGUAAUAAAUACACAAGAUGCACGUCUUCGAUUUGUUGGUAACACUUCCAUGCAGCUUCUUCUUGUAACUGUGUAACUGCAUUAGUGAUUGUCUCCAUGGAGUAGCUUCUAUUUUUUUUCUUUUGUAGCUUCUUGUUUGCUGUCAUAUAAAACUGAAUUCGCUCUUGGGUUCGAUACAUUUAUCUCCAAGAAACUCCUGGGGAAUUUGUGUUAUUUGUUCCAACCUUUUCUUCACUAUGUAUGUCGAAAUUUUGCUCAAGAAAUAAAUAAAAAGAUAUGAUUAUUGAGUUGAAGAGUUUAGAAGUUAAUUUAGAGAGGCGAGCAAUCCAUAAAGAAAUAGUUUGGGGGAGGAUUAGAAUAUUGUUGGCUAAUGAGCAAAGCAUGAAAAGUUAAAAAAAAAAAAAAAAAAAAAGUAUUGGGUAAGCAGACCUACUGAUGAAGCUAGGAAGAAAAGUUGGCUGAAGAGAAGUGAGAAGCUGUUCUGAAUAUGGGGAAAGAUACAAAACUGAGGAAAAAAUAAUGGGGGCAGUGGGAGGGGAAGAAUGAUGUAGAUGGUGUGGAAAACAUACAGUGUUAUACCCGAGGAAGAAGUUUUUUUAUGUUUGCAGUAAUAACAGGAAACCACUGGAGAAAUUCAGAGAUUUUAGCGGUUUGCUUUAGGGUGGAGUGGAGAAGAGUUGGGAGGUAGAGAGCCUGGGCAAAGAAAAGCAGGGAUGGUUGAGACAGGCAACCAGUGACAGUCUUAGCAGUUGGAAGAGUGCAGACCUUGGAGCAAAUUUAGACACUGAAUUUACUCUGUUUUGUUUUGCAAGCUGUUUGUAAAACUGGCAUGGCAAACACCUGUAAGUUUUGCUUUCAUCUUCAAGACAAAUGGCUUUAAAGUAGGAUCUUCCCACCUUAAGAAAAAAAAAACAACAAACACAAAACAAACCUAACCAAAAUACAGAUUUUGAUUAUUUCGUUUUUCAAAUGAAAUCCAGCAAAUGCUCGGCAGAUAAAGUUAUAUAUAAAUCAAAGGAGAACGGUCUCUACUGUUUGUUUCCCUUAUGGGUUGUUACAUAGGUCAGAAGUAUGUUGUACUAGAUUUGACAUUCAAAUGGUCAGCCCAGAAACUUGGCAGUGCUAUGCACUGUUUCAGUAAAAUCAAGUACAGAAACCAACUCAGGUUUCUUAUCCUGCUGGCCAGAGGAGCUGGGGCGUUUCCUGAAGGUGAAACACUUGAGUUCAGAGGGAGAAAAGAGUGCCAACUACUUCAGUGAAUGUCCUGAGCUAGAAGCAUAAAGAUCACAUUGGGGAAUAAAAAAAGAAGUGCAUUGACAUAACAGUGAACUGCCACUGCUCAGAAAACGUUUAGACAGAUGACUUUAAGAUGAGGAGAUGUUGUGAUUCAAAUGAUAUUGCAUUCACUGCGUAUUCCCAGAAAAAGGAGAGGGGACUGAAUUAAAGAAAUAAAUCAGACAAAUGUAUUUUGAAGGAUAUCUUGAGUUCAAUAACCUUACAUGACCUGGAAAAAACAGUUUCUUCUGAGCUUUGUGUUGCUGAGAAAGACAGUCUCCUUGGAGUCCAUUAGAAGUCGAUGCCAACCUACUGGAACAUUUCCAUAGUUUGCUGUCUAACUUCCCAAGGUUAAUUUUGGGAACUCAGCAAAUUCUGCAGACAUGACAUGCUCUUCUGAAGUACAGAACACCUCAGGGGCCUCACUGGCUUCAUCUGUGGUCAGCACUUCCGAAGCACAAAGAGCAUCCAAAACUUCAAAGUACAUUAAAUAGUGAAGAUGUUUGACCUGAGAUUCUUUCCUCCAACUGUCAGACUGCUUCCCAGAACUCAAGAGAAUAUUAUUACUUAAGUUGGUUAAAUACAAUUUAAGCAAAUAUAUUGCUUUUCAUCCUAACACUGCUUUUUUUGACCAUGACUGGACGCAAUCUGGUGUAGGAAAGGGGAAAAUAGAUAUAUAUAUUAUUUAGUUUAUUUCUCCGUUUUGUUUCUAUACAUCAGCCUGUGAACUAACCUUAUUCUCUUAUUGUUGAUGUCUCUCUGCUAGGAAUUUACAUGGUAGUCUGGGGCUUUUAUGAAUGCACAUGGAUAAACUAUGGUGAUAUCUAAAUUUGUAGAUUUUGAGAUUGAGACAUGACACUUAAACCCAGAGGUCUCUGUCUCCAUCUGUUGGAAUGAGAAGGGCAUAGCCCCAAUGGCUGCUGUUUGAAGAGUCAUCGUAAUGAAACUGCAAUUUCAUUUUAGCUGUGUCUUCACCCGUGACUUUCAGUCUAACCAAUGUUAGCAACAGCAGUGAUUUGACACUGCUUGUGCCCAUGGAGGUAGAAAGCUUGUCUUCACUGGAAAAUAAUAGAAUGAUUAGACAUCUUCAGGUGCUCAAACAUCACUUCUGCUUCCUUAAAGGUGGGCUGGAGUACUUAGAAAACCAACUCCCUUGUCAAUCAGAGCGAGCACAGUCUGACCUCAGUAUAAAAAAGAACUGGACUACAUAAAAGGGUGAAGUUUUCAUCCUGCAUCAACCAAACUACAGGCUAUGUACCUGUGCCAGGGUCUUGAGUGUAGAAUAGUGCACUAAAUCCCUGGGUGCUCCAUCCAGAUGUUGACUGGUCACAUUUUUCCUCUCAGAGCCAUUUCCCUCCCUACCCUUGGAGCUCUUUCAUCUCUGGACCUGCCUUGCUGCUUCAGAGAGGGCAUUACAUGCUGCAGUGCUACAGCAAGGAGUUUACCCUGUCAGUUUGUUGGAACCUUGCUUUGUGAUUUGGAUGAAAUGUGUUUAUAAAUGUUAACAGAGCAAGUAAUAUUCUUCUGCUCAUGUGACAAAGAGAAUCCUAUUUAUAAAUGCUAGGACAGUUUCUUCUCUUGCUAUGAUACUGGUAGUUAACAUCUGUGUAAAAGGCAAAGGAAAUGAGAGAAGUAAACUUAUUCAUUUUUCAGGUAUCCUUAUGUUAUAUCAGGACAUUCAAAACCAUCCAGUGAUAGAAAGGGUUUCAAUAAAUGCCUGAAAUUGUCAUUGCUCUCUGAGAAUUUAAGGGAUGGAUUUUGACCAGUUCCCCAAAUGCACAUGAACACCAACCGGGACUUUCAGCAAUCCUCAUUAUAUGCAGGUUCCUUGCUUGGGUGCUUUGGGAAGUUGUGUUGGCUCUCCAUGCUUAAACACCCUGGCAGUAAGAAAAUUUCAGCCUAAUAAUCAUUUGAUCAGGGAUCUAACUUGAAAUCAGUUUGUCAUCUCACUUGGUAUCACUAAGAAUCCCGGAAUUUCAGAGCUCAGUAGGCCAAAGCCUACUUCUGUGUGAGCCUUUCUUCUACGUGAGUUUUUGCUGAAUCCUCUUCUGUAGCAGGGCUCACUGCCCUGUGGCAGCAGGUGUACCAAGGGUGUAGGAGCGGGGAGUGUUGCUCUGGUUUGGUGCCCAUGCCUUGUUUUGGACUUGCCAGCUGUUGGCGAAGGAUCUGUCAUCUGAAAUGUUACAGGUUUUCAGCGCUGUCUUAAACAGUUCCAUGGCACGUUUCUUUGUUGUAUGAUGUUGUAAGCCUCUCAUCCUACCUUGGAGUAAGUUUUAGAGUUCGUCCAUCAGAAUUUACCUGAGGACUGCUUUAUUUUGGCUUUUCAUGGAUACAGGAAUAUGUUCAGCUUCGGAGAAGACAGCGUUUCCUUUGACAAGAACUUAAAAUUUCUGGUUUAAAUGUAGUCCUCAUUAGGUUAUUUAACCAUCUGCCUUUGGGCAAGCCAAUCAGUACAUGUAAGCUCAUAUCACUUCUAGGGGAAACGUUCUUUUCUGAUAGCAAAUGAACUCUGAGUGUUCUGACAUACUAACAGGUUAUUCAAAAUACAUUAUUUUCGUUUUGCGUUCGAUAAAAGUAUCUUAUCAUGGCCUGAGAUGUUGCAUGGGUCCCCAGGAAGUCCUUCAGAGCCCAUUGUCCUCUUUUGGAGUAGGGCCAUUGGUGGAACAGCACUGGCAGUGCUGUGUGUGAAGGUACCUUUGAUUUACAGAUCUGUGCAUUCAUCUACACAAAUACACACUAACAGUGUAAUGCACAGUAGAAGCUGGGAUACAGCAUUGUCAGAUGAAGUUUUGAGAUCACAAGUUUGAAACAAAGAACACUUUUUCAUGUACUGCAUAAUGCUAGAACUCAUUUUCAGAGGACACUGCAGAUGAAAAAGUUUUAUGUAGCUCCAAAAUUUGAAUACAGGGUGUCAGUGGAAGAACAAUGAAUCCAUAGUGUCACAGAGAUGUACAGCUCAUUUUGUGCUGUGGGAAUCCCUCAAGCCAUGGGCUCUUGGGAGAGCAGCCUCUGCCUACCCAGCAAGCAGCAAUUGGCCCCUCACUGCAAGGGAAGGGACACCUGCAUGGACCCUCAUCCCUGACGCAGGAGCACGGCGCCCGCAGGGUGCUGCAGCUGGGCUGCACUCCAGCCUUCCUCUGUGCUGGAGCUGCUGGCUUUGGAGUGGGGAUGAUGUUCUGGGCUGGCUUUAUGCUUGGUGGUAUUUUUAUUCCUCAUAUAGAUUUCAAAACAAAACAAAUAAGUUGUUGCUUAGCUACCCCUCUGGAGGGGCUCUCUCACCGUGCUGCAACUCAGUAAUCUUAAUAUUGCAUUUUUCGCUUGUUACAGUCUAUUUUUGCUGGCUGGUGUUUGAUGCAGACACUUCUGGGACUUUUUGAUCAGCAGGAGUGGGAGGGCUGUGCAGAAAGAGGUGCCUGGCUUGGGAGCUCUGGGAAACGCCCCUCGUCAGAAGCUGGGCAGUAUUACACCAGUCAAUUUGCUGGUGGUUCGGGAAUGAUUCUUACUCUGAUGAAACUCCAUACUCAGGGUGUCUCUAUUUCUUUGUCAUUACAACACAACUCUGUUAAGAAUAGAUUAAUUUUGCAUAAGCAUAAAUACCAGAAAACAGAAUUUUUGACUUCUGUUUUCUCAGAGAUGUUUUGAAGGAGAAGCCGUAAAUCGGCAUUUUGAAGUCAUGGUACUGCUUACCUCAAAGCACAGCAAAAUGGAGCUACUCAACCUUUUGUGCAGUUAGAAAUGAAUGCAAAAAAAAAUCUCUAAAUUAUUUCUUGUUGAAGGAAACAAGACAUGCCUAAUGCCCACAGCUUGUACUUUACCCUUUGUAUUCAGCACCUAGGCAAAAGAGAAGAGAAGAAUCUUCCUUAACGGAGACUAUCACUGCGGACAAAUGUUCCUUGAGGUUAAAGAGUGUAGAUUCUGUUUGCUUCAUUGCCUGAGUUGUUCUGUAAUACUGAGCUGUGCAGCAUUAGCCUUUGGUUGUUCUGGAUGAAGAGCUUACCAGGGCUCCUGUAUGCUCUGGUCACUGAGCUGUGUGUCCCUCCAUGGUGUCCCAAGCAGCUCCCAGCCAUAUCUGCAAAAUUAGCCUGACAGUCUUAAAUACAGGCCCCUUCCUCCGCUAGGUGCAGCUGACAGUGCUUGACACAUUUCUGUCCACCCAUACAAUACUUAAUUUACAGCCCUUAGCCACAAAGCCACUUUCUGGCAUUGUUAGAGAAAUCAGAGUCUGUUCCCAUAAAGCUUGUUACUUGACAGCAUUUAUGCUGCAUGAAUAAUACGGUGAUGGCAGCAAUUUGCAAUUAGCUGUUUGAGCCCUGUAUCUCUCCUCAUGUCCCUGCCACGUGCCUCCGAGGCUGUGUGGCUAAGUCUGACCUGCUUCCCUUCACAAUUUUCCUUCUCUAUAAUGUAUGCCUUUGAGCUCACUGGGGAUACUGUGCAACUGGGGUAACUAAAAGGUUGGAUGGCAGCCGCAGAGUGUGGAUCACUGUGUUAGAUUGGACUGAGCCAUAAAGCCAUCUCCUGCCGGUGAUGUGUGAGAGGACCACAGUGCCCACACAGCCCCAGGGGCAGAGUGCCACCUGUGGAUAGGACAGACAGACCCCAUCUCUGGAGCUGGCUGAGACCUUCUGCUGGGGCUGUGCUGGACAGGAAAAGCCAGCCCCUGGUAUGGAAGUGAAUGCCUGGCAGGGUAUGGGAGGUAUCUGGCUUGUGGCUUUGGGGAGUCCUCACCGGCACCCAGAGGAGUGUGACAUUGUUGGAACCUGUUUGAAGCACAUGUGGUGAUCUAUAUAUAAAAUGGUUUGUCCCCUUUGAGUGUACCAGGAGUGCCCUAUGAGGCCAGCUGAGUGGGCAGCUGCUCGGAAAGGCCUCCAGGAGCCAGGGCCUGACCAAGGCAGAGGGCAGGAGGGAGGUGGGCAAGCAGAUGCUCCCAUCCCUGCCUGCAGAGCAGCUCCGGCUUGUCUCCCUUCCUCCAUCUACAGCUAGUGCUGCUGGAGCACAGCUAUAGAGCAGGAUUGAGCUGGAGCCAAGGAGAGGAGCUGGCUCAGAUCCACCAGCUAAAAGUGAGCAAAGCUUUUGAGUCUGACUGGAAUCUCUCACAAAAACAAACAAACUAACAAAGAUCCUUCCCCAAAUCUAUGUUUCCAUUUCCCCCCCCCGCCCCCCCUCUUAUUCUGUUAAAAUAAUUCCUUGCCUUUUCAUUUGUUUUCAGGUUUUUAUCUUCUUCUUCCCCUUCCUGACUAUAUAUAAAUGAAUCCCUGUAUGUGUACGUACUCAAGAUGUUUUCGGUCAGUCGUGGAAAGUGUUCCUUUCUGUGGUGUUUUCAUUGAGACAAUCAGGGGCAAAGUUCUUGUGGCAGUGCCAGGUCUAAUACCACAGGAAGAGCUGUGUCCGCUGGAAAUACCACAGAGAGUACAGAACCCGCAGUAUUUUCUAAAAACACAGAAUGGUUUUGAAAGCAAGUCAAAUACUGCAAAGUCAGCUCAGAUUAUUAUUUUGUCUUAAAUUGUUUAUUUGGCUUUGUUUUAUUUUCUUAAAAGGGUGCUGAGGAACAUUGCUUACGUUAAAUCUGGUUUUGCCACUGUGCCCUUCCAGUCAGAAACACAGCUGUAAAGUGAUGGAAAUGCCAUGAUUGCAUCACUUCUAGUCCUGUGGACGCGCAGUUCAGACAGCAGUCUGGGUGCUGCUCUGCCUUCAGCUUUUGUUGACUCUGCGUCUUGUUGGUGUUUGCAGUUGCUCCUGUGGCAUUCAGUGUGACAGUCAUAGCUCUGCUUUCUCCAUAGCUAUACCUGGGAAUGAGUCCUGUGAGAUGCAGCAUGCUGCUCGGUGCACAAGAGUAUAUGGGAUCAAGGGCCCCAGUCUUAAAGAACAUAGCAUGAGUAAAUACCCCUUUGGGGAGCAGGGGCAGGGAGCAAAUCUGUGCCAUUGGAAUGAGUGCACUUCUACCCAGUCAUUGGCACAGCAUGGGUACACUUUUAAUUUCCUCCUCCACUUCGAGAAGCAGUUUGGGAAACAUCAAUUUGAUUGCUCUGUUUAUGAAGGCAAAUCAUGAGCACAAACAAAAUAUUGAAUGAACUGCUUCUUCAUAGAAGUCUGUAUUGCAAGAAAUUUUAAAAUCUCAAAAGAAGAGUUUGGAAUACAUGGGGAAGCAAGCGGUGAAGCUGAGGUUUGGAAAGACAUCCUUAUGUUUUUGGAAUGGCUUUCUUCUGCAUCAAGAACAGCCAACUCUGUGUGUUACUAAGUAAAUGAUUUCCCAGUGACUGUGAGUUAGCAAUGGUUGUUGUGCAGAGGCUGACAGCUGGCCUCUGGAGCUGAAAUACUCCUGGGUCUGUGCUGGUGCUGUGAGCUGUGAGAAUGCAGCACCAGUGGGUUGUGAGUGGUGCAGAGCCGCAAGUCACAGCCUUCUCUGGGGAUGAUGGUUGUUAUUGCACUGAGCGCCCAGGCUCCAGCGUGGAGAAGUAACUUUGGUUGCUUAGUGUUAGAUGACAAUUUAAAAGUUUUUCCUGUUUUCACAGGGGCCAGAUUUUAAUUCUGCUUAAUUAUGUCCUGUGUUAGCUCUGCUCUAAACUAAGAAGUCUCAUGCAGCCUGGAACAAAUUUUAAAAGGCCUUCAAGGAUCAAUAGUUCUCAAUCAUUAAUAAAUGAAAAAGAAGGAAAAUACUACACAGUUAAUUGUAUACAAUGUCAAAGGCACUGUUUGACUGAGAGAGGAAUUUGGUAACUGUGUGGAAAAAGCCAAAGCCAGUGUAUAAACAAUGUGAAUGUCAUCAGGGAAGUCCAGGUGCUGCUCCCUGGCUGGGACAUUUCUGCAGAGAUAUAAUCCUUUUCCUCUUUGUCUUUAAUGUGUCAGCUCAGGAAUUUUCUGUCCUGCCCUGCUGUCACGAUGUUUGAGGUCUGCAGUCUCUCUCAAACUUCAGCCUUGCUAUUCGUGUGAGGGAGCAGUAGCACAGUCAUAUGGGGCGGUUCUCAUCAACAGGAACUGCUGCUUUUCUGCUUGCUUGUCCUCAAAGGCUGUUUUUGUCUCUUCAGUAUCAGGUUAAAAUCCAGUUCAGCUGCCAUGUGUUUUCUCCAUACUUUCCCAGUCACUGAUCAGUAAGUUGCGUGUACAUGCAGAUUCUUCCUUUCUAAUUAGCUUAUUCCCAAUGACUAGUUGAUUCACUGUCAUAAUCCAGUCUUAUGUGGCCUCAUAAUCCUCUUGUGCCUCUUCAUCUAAGCGAUACGACGCAGUCAGGUCCAGACAAAAGCAUACAGACAAUUCUGUUUCUAAAAAUGCACUUAUUACAGGUUUGAAGUUGACACAUGUCAGCACUAAGCAAAGCCCUCAUCUUUUCCCAGGCCACAGUAAAUAUGACACUCCUCAUUCAAGGCAGCUCUGUCCACCCCUGUGAGAGUCUGGGAAAACAGGCCCUGCAGGGAGGCUGGGGGCCAACAAAACAGCCUCUGUUGGACAAAUUAAGUAUCAGAGCAGAAGUUUUCAGAAUGUAUAUGGUUUAGCAACAAAUCACAUACAGUAGACAGCAGGAGUCUGAAUAUGUGGUAUAAAUGAGGCUUUUUGUGUUGCUCUUUUCUUCAGGUUCCUUAGAUAACUAGUUAUUUAUUGCUUUAUAAAAUUUUCUAAAUAAGCCCACAAAAAUGAGGCAAAGAUAAAUAAAAAACCAGCUAGCAGUCAGCCACGCAUGGAAGGCACGGGUACAAACAUAACCCCAGCUGUCCAACUUCCAUCUUAGUCCUCAUGUCGUUUGUGUGUUACAUGCCAUUUUCUGCCAAAGUAAAGAUUCCCAUCAUCCUGGUAGCUUUCUUUGAUGUCCAGCAGAGGAGAUUCCUUUACAUAUGGAGGAAACUGGAAGAAAUCUGUGUUCUGCCAUACCUGAUGUCUUGUUUCCCCAAAAGAGACAGCAUGAGGAGUGCUCACCUCCUGCCCAGCCCCGCUGCUCCAUAGGCACCUCUUUGACAUUGCAGACCUCAGGGCAUGGCCCAGCCUUGUACAUUUGUUGUUUCCCAGCAUGAACAAUUCAAAUUGAACUAACAGAGAGUACGCAGUAGGAGGGAGAGAGCUGUGCUAUCAAUUGUACCAUCUCAUCCUUGUGGACACCAAAGAUGGCAAGUUGGACUCGGCCUUGGUGACAGUAAGGACAGUUGGACAAGGUGUGAAUGGGUUCAGAGUUCAUGUUUCUCAGUAUGGGAGUGGGAUUUGCAGCACUAGAAGAUUUUGCAAGUGGUUCCAAGGUCCGUGGAUACUCAGGCUCCUGGCUUGCCUUGCAGUUGUGCCAGACUCCUCCCACUGCACCCCUGGCCUGGCUGCCUGGACUUUGCUUCGGUUAUGGCUGGGUUAGAAAGGAACCAGUCCACAGCAUUCUUGGUUGUUUCUUUUUCUUUUUUUUUUUUCCCUCUCUGCACCAGUUUGUGAUCUAUUACCUAUUUCUGUCCCAUUCUCAGCAGACCUUGCUAGGCCAUGGACCUUACAGCUCAUUCUCAGGGCAGGGCCCUACCUGUCUCUUUCCUGGAAAUUUAUGACCAUUUGCUCUGUGAUAAUUGCAAUGUAAAACCUUCUUGCUCGUGGGAAAGAUGUAUACUGCUGUGUGCGUGCAUUUGCACUGAAUGCCAUGUGCCAGCAGUGUGUUAAGAAAAAUGUCUUUGACAGUAAAAUAGGCCCAAUAGUUUGUAAUCUUAACUGCUUUGUGGCUCAGAUAUUGAACCAAUUAGCAGUUAUCAGAAAAGAGCCCAAGAACACUAGGAGGGUCUUAUGGAAAAGUUUUAUACCUUUUGAAGACCUUACACUGCCCCAUCCCUGACGAGACUUUUACUGACUGGAAGUUACAAAUGUUUUCAUGUCAGGAAGUCCUUGGAAGUCUCCUACUCUGCUGCCAAGACCCAGCCCAGCUUCUCCUUGGCUGAUAAAAUGCAAGUGCCUGAAAUGGGAAGGAGAGCAGCAGUACGUCUGGGCUUUUGUAGCGGGGAGGGAACAAGUGGACCACCAAGUGGGAUUUUGACUUUUAGGGCUGGAUGCUCUUCAGCCUCUGCAGCUAGGUGUUUGAACGGAAUCCUGAAGAAGAAUAAGACUUCCAUGUGGCACUGACGGCAGGACGGAUGAGGGGAUUUUGAAUAGGAACUUGACAAUUUUUUUACCCAGCAGUACUUCAGUCAGAUUCACACAGGUGCCAAGUUCUCCCAUUCUCAUAGGGCAGGCCAACUGUACUGAAAGCAAUGGAAACCUGCUUUAGUUUUGAAAUGCCAUUUGGAUGCUUUACAUGAAGUACCUAAGCUGACUGUUGGUGUAACUUUACAAGUUACAAAACUUGUAAACAGGAAAAAAAAAAAAAAAAAAAAAGCUUUCCUUGAUGAAAGUUUAUGCAAAUUCACUGGUUUCUUUGGAACCUUUCGUUAAGAUGAAUCCCAUCUUUAGUCAUUGCAGUGCUAAGGCAAGUCGAGUAGAUUCAGAGUGAGGUUGCACCAUCAGCGUGUGGGCAGGGAACUCAGAGCCACUGAGGUUUGCUUCCUGUGCCAGAGCAGGUCCUGCAGCCUGUCACUGGCUGUGCAGUGCCAUGUCUGAUGAGCAGCAGAAUGGAGUCAUGCUGCCUGGACAGCUGAGCAAAUAAACAGAGAAUUUACAGCCCUUUGGUAUACAAGCUAUGGGAUUGUUACCUGAUGCUCUUAAAAUGGGAGGCAGCCCAAGCUGCACGUCAUGGGUGGCUGUGCAUGCUGCCCUCUGCCUUUCUCUGGGAUGAGCUCUGUGUGCUGCAGAGCCGUUGCUUUUUUUCAGAUCCCUAAAUUCACAUGCUGACUUUUGGGAUUACUUUUCAGUCAAGGCAUGGUUGUAAUUAUAUUUGAAGUAUUAGAGGCCUAAAGAGCCAAAGUCAAUAUUUUUUUAAUGACCUGUUUAAUGCCAAAUGUAAAACAUGAAGAUUUGAUUCUCCAAUCACUUUUGCGUUUUUAUGCUUUGAGUUGGAGAUGGCAGAUUUAAAAAGUUGAAUUUCAGUAUUAACACAUUUUGGUUUUGAUAUCCUGAUUUAUUCUAUUUUUGUAUAAUGCAUUUUCUUAGAUUAACAGUUUUUUCCCAUUCCACUUGCUCACUAUUUUGCUGGCUAGAGAAGCAGUGGAUUAAGGACAAAAUAAGCAGAUCAGCAGAGGGGCUUUGAACAAACAGGAUUUUGGCCUUUUCUGUGUUCUGGGGACAUAGACAGUUACUGGAGUGGGAGGGAUGACCUGGGUCAUGGAGGUCACUCCUCUGCUAUUAUGGGCAGCCACAGCAUUAAAUGUCUGUCAUAAAUGCAUUCUGUACCAUCUCAAAACUAAUUACUUUUCAGCCGUUCCCUGUUCCUAUUAGAAGGCUGUUCCAGAUCCUUCCUCUUCAGAGGGUUUCUAAUCCUCUUUAUUUCAACUCAUGGUGAGUUGAUACCUAUUUCUUCAUGUGACAGAAUUUUACUUUGGCUUCUGUAGUUAUUUUCCCUCCUUGCUCUUUUUCUGCCCCGGCAUUUUGAUAGAGAGCAGCCAUACAUCCUUCCAGCCUUCCUUAUGUAUAAGAGUUGUUCCUGGGCUUACCCAGGGAAAGCAGGAAGAGGGCAGGGCGGAAGGACUCUGCCCAUUGGAAAUGCAGAUCCUUCUGUCACUGGGUAUUCUUUGGACUUGUUUGCUGUUCAGAAAAGUUUGCCAGUGCUGCUGAUGGGUGCAGAGUUGGAUGCAACCCGGUAACUGCCUGUCUCCAGUCUUUUGGAAGUUCUACCUUCUGCUACGGCCAGUGCUGUUUCCUUCGUUUGCUCUAUGGCUUAUAUUUGCUCUGUAAGAUGCUGUCCAUCAUGUUGUUGAUACAGCACAACCAUGCGUCAGUCUGUGAAGAGGGCUCCUGGAUGUUUGGGCAGUGCAAAUAAACAUGCAUAGUGGAGUUGGAGGGAGAGCAAAGCUGCAAAGGCACUUGAGGCUUUCCUAUUGCAUGAACAGCAAUAAAGGUUGUUAGAAGGAGCCAAAUCUAGCCAAAAGAGGCUUGAUUUAGGUUUUCCUAUGAUUCCUAAUCCCCUUGAUUAGCUGCAAAGGCACCUGGAUGUGCACUCCUUAAAGUGCUUUGCAGAUCAUGACCGUCUCAUGCAAGCUCUCCUCUUUGUAUUAUAUUCCCUGUUA